UUUUAUGGAUUUUCUCUUUGUUUCAUGCACAAUUCCUACGGUUUGGAAGAUUACUUUACUUUUUUAAAAUGUAAUUUUCGUGACUUCUCUUCCUACGGUUUUCAUGUGCAAUUCCUACGAUUUUUAUAGUAGAGAUAUUUUUCUUUUCUCAAGUUUGAUACUAGAUUCGUACGUCUCCAUCUUCAAGCAAAUUGAUGGGUUUGAUCUCGUUGCAUGGAAUUGCAUGAUCUCUAGAUACAUCCAAUGGUCCAUCUCGACGAUGCCUGUUGCCUUUUUGAUGAAAUGCCUGACAGAAACAAUCACUUUAGAAAAAGCCUAUUUGCGAGAUGUGGAGGGAAAGUAUUCAGUUGAAUGUUUUUUUUUUUUUUUUGUUUUUUUCCGCGUGAAUUGGCUUCAAGGUGUUUAUUGUGUGACAUGCAGUAAUUCUAUUGGCAUCUGACUAAAAGUCCUUUUUUCCUUGAAACAGGAUCUUCUGUAUUUGGGCAGAAGCCUGGCUUUGGAGGCUUUUGAUCAACUCCCAACUCAAACAAGUCCUUUUGAUUCAAGAUCUAGUGGAUGAUACUCAGAAAUUGAAAGUCUGACAGUAACGUUCCUGUCAAAUCUCAGAUGCUCCUCUUGGAAGCAAGGGAAGAUUCUUCACUAAAUGACAAAACCAUUGACUCAUUUGACGGGAACAAUUCUGCAUCUUGUUAAUGCCUGUGUUUAAUGGUGAUUUUCAAACCAUCUUACAGGGGAAUUCUACCAACAAGCUUCAGUUCUGCGUUGAAGGUGGUUUGUUUGUUAGAUUAGUACUUCUAUAUUAGUUUAAGCUUUUCUGGUAUUGAUUUUCAGGCUCCUAAAGUUCUGAAGUUAAUAUCGAAUGAUGGUUCUAUGCUUCAGGUGACCCCACCAUUCAGUCCAAACAGGUUCUAGAAGUUGUUUUCAUCAAUUUAGGGAACAACCCAUUUGAUAUUUUUGAGGAAUUUUAUCAAGUUGGUCAGCCUUGAAAAUCAAGCUAUUGAAUUAUUAG